rnacentral:tRNA from 1 species
UCCAGGGUAGCCUAGUGGACAUGGCAUCUGCACGGUAUGUGAAACACUGUGGGUUCGAUUCCCAUCCCUGGAC